UCCGGCUUACACCGGCGGUCUCCUGUGAGUCCCCAUCAUUAAUGCUGGUAACACAGAACGAGGGUUGCGCUCGUUGGCGGACUUAACCGUACACCUCACGGCACGAGCUGACGACAGCCAUGCAACAAGUGUCUUCAUGUCUCCUUGUGAGAGAGGGCCACCUUUCAAUGGCUUACAAUCGAUGUCAAACCUGGGUAAGGUUCUUCGGUUAGUAUCGAAUUAAUCCACAUGCUCCACCGCUUGUGCGGGUCCCCGUCAAUUCAUUUGAGUUUCAACCUUGCGGCCGUAGUCCCCAGGCGGGAUACUUAAUGCGUUAGCUGCGGCACAAGAGGGGUCGAUACCUCUUACGCCUAGUAUCCAUCGUUUAGGGCGUGGACUAC
rnacentral:misc_RNA from 1 species